rnacentral:rRNA from 1 species
AGGGCGUAUGGGGAAUGCCUAGGCACACUCCGGCGAAGAAGGACGCAGCAAACAGCGAAAUGCGACGGUGAGCGGUAAGCACGUGAAGAGCCGUCGAUAUCCGAAUGGGGGAACCCACACGGAGUCAUAUCCGUGUAUCACAUGUCGAAUACAUAGACAUGAUGAGGCGAGACGCAGGGAACUGAAACAUCUAAGUACCUGCAGGAAGAGAAAAUAAGAAUGAUUUUCUGAGUAGCGGCGAGCGAAAGGGAAAGAGCCCAAACCGAUUUUAGGAUCGGGGUAGUAGGAUCAUCGAGGAAUCUGACAGAGGAUCAUAGAGGAAUCACAUGGGAAGGUGAGCGAGAGAGGGUGAGAGCCCCGUACUCGAAAUGAGAGACUGGAGAGAGAUGACACCUGAGUAGGGCGGGACACGAGAAAUCCUGUCUGAAUCAGCCGGGACCAUCCGGCAAGGCUAAAUACGAGAGAGUGACCGAUAGUGAACCAGUACCGUGAGGGAAAGGUGAAAAGAACCCCGGGAGGGGAGUGAAAGAGAACCUGAAACCCUGCACUUACAAGCUGUAGGAGCACAUUAUUUGUGUGACUGCGUACUUUUUGUAGAACGGGCCAACGAGUUACGUUGUGUAGCAAGGUUAAGCACUUAAGGUGUGGAGCCGUAGCGAAAGCGAGUCUUAAAUGGGCGAUUAAGUUACUUGGCGUAGACCCGAAACCGGGCGACCUAUCCAUGAGCAGGUUGAAGCGAAAGUAAAAUUUCGUGGAGGACCGAACCCACGAGCGUUGAAAAGCUCGGGGAUGACUUGUGGAUAGCGGUGAAAUUCCAAUCGAGCCCGGAGAUAGCUGGUUCUCCCCGAAAUAGCUUUAGGGCUAGCCUCAAGCGUAGAGAAACGGAGGUAGAGCACUGAAUGUCCUAGGGGGUAUUGCACUUACCGAAGACUAUCAAACUCCGAAUGCCGUAUUCUUUUGCUUGGGAGUCAGACUAUGGGUGAUAAGAUUCAUAGUCAAGAGGGCAACAGCCCAGAUCGUCAGCUAAGGUCCCUAAAUGUAAGUUAAGUGGUAAAGGAUGUGGAAUUGCACAGACAACCAGGAUGUUGGCUUAGAAGCAGCCACUCAUUAAAAGAGUGCGUAAUAGCUCACUGGUCGAGUGAUUCUGCGCCGAAAAUUUAACGGGGCUAAACUAUACACCGAAGCUUAGGAUACCGCAAGGUAUGGUAGGAGAGCGUUCUGUACGGAGUGAAGUCGUAGCGAAAGCGGCGGUGGACUGUACAGAAGUGAGAAUGCCGGAAUAAGUAGCGAGAAUUAAGUGAGAAUCUUAAUGGCCGAAAGUCUAAGGUUUUUGGAGGAAGGUUCGUCCGCUCCAAGUAAGUCGGGAGCUAAGGUCAGGCCGAAAGGCGUAGCCGAUGCACAAACGGUUGAUAUUCCGUUACCGUCUACAAUUUAAACAAAGGGACACAUACAAAGCGUUUAACCCGGGCGAUGGUUGACCCGGGCGCAAGGGACUGAAAUAAGAGUAGGGAAGUAAAUGUGGCGUAUGGCGAGAAAAGCUUUGUGAAUAGAAGUAGACGCCCGUACCGCAAACCGACACAGGUGGACAGGAAGAGAAUUCUAAGGCCAGCGGGAGAAGGGUAGUUAAGGAACUCGGCAAAUUGACUCCGUAACUUCGGAAUAAGGAGUGCUCGAAAGAGCCGCAGAGAAUAGGCCCAGGCGACUGUUUAGCAAAAACACAGGUCUCUGCCAAAUCGAAAGAUGAAGUAUAGGGGCUGACACCUGCCCGGUGCCGGAAGGUUAAGAGGAGGAGUGAGAGCUCCGAAUUGAAGCCCCGGUAAACGGCGGCCGUAACUAUAACGGUCCUAAGGUAGCGAAAUUCCUUGUCGGGUAAGUUCCGACCCGCACGAAUGGUGUAACGAUCUGGGCACUGUCUCAACUACCCACCCGGCGAAAUUGUAGUACCGGUGAAGAUGCCGGUUACCUGCGGCAAGACGGAAAGACCCCAUGGAGCUUUACUGUAGCCUGAUAUUGGGUUUCGGAAAUCUAUGUACAGGAUAGGCGGGAGACUGGGAAGUAUGAGCGUCAGCUUAUACGGAGUCGUUGUUGGGAUACCGCCCUUAGGUUUCUGGAAUUCUAACCUGCGACCGUGAAUCCGGUCGGGGGACAUUGUCAGGUGGGCAGUUUGACUGGGGCGGUCGCCUCCGAAAAGGUAACGGAGGCGCUCAAAGGUUGGCUCAGCACGGACGGAAACCGUGCCUCAGAGUGUAAACGCAAAAGCCAGCCUAACUGCGAGGAUGACGGUCCGAGCAGUAACGAAAGUUGGAGUUAGUGAUCCGGCGGUAUGUGAAUGGAAAUGCCGUCGCUCAACGGAUAAAAGCUACCCUGGGGAUAACAGGCUGAUCUCCCCCAA